rnacentral:rRNA from 1 species
GAUGAACACUGGCGGCGUGCUUAACACAUGCAAGUCGAACGGUGAACCCGGAGCUUGCUCUGUGGGAUCAGUGGCGAACGGGUGAGUAACACGUGAGCAACCUGCCCCUGACUCUGGGAUAAGCGCUGGAAACGGCGUCUAAUACUGGAUAUGUGACGUGACCGCAUGGUCUGCGUUUGGAAAGAUUUUUCGGUUGGGGAUGGGCUCGCGGCCUAUCAGCUUGUUGGUGAGGUAAUGGCUCACCAAGGCGUCGACGGGUAGCCGGCCUGAGAGGGUGACCGGCCACACUGGGACUGAGACACGGCCCAGACUCCUACGGGAGGCAGCAGUGGGGAAUAUUGCACAAUGGGCGCAAGCCUGAUGCAGCAACGCCGCGUGAGGGAUGACGGCCUUCGGGUUGUAAACCUCUUUUAGCAGGGAAGAAGCGAAAGUGACGGUACCUGCAGAAAAAGCGCCGGCUAACUACGUG